AGACAAAAAUCCAGCUGCUAUUCAAGGUGUGGGAAGUAGAUCUCACUUCUUCCUGGAAGAGAUCACAAAGAGAAUGAAGACUGAAUGAAUUCACAGCAAAAUGUCAAUACAGAUUAUUGCUGAGUGGGUUAAAAGAUGAAGAAACACACAAGCAACUCACUGAAAGCCAGGGUAAGUUAGAGGUAGUAGGGUGAAGGUUAAGAGCUUGACUUUUGGAGUCUGACUAGUGUUAAGUUCAAAAGUCACUUUCCUCACCUGCUACCCAUGUGAUUCUGGGUAGAAUUUUUUUUUUUUUUUUUUUUACUUCUCCACAAGUUAGUUUCCUUAAAUAAAAAACGGAACUAACCACACCUAGGAUCACAAGGUUAUGAGAAUUAGAUGUGAAAAGAUAACGUAAAGCCUUUAACCCAGAGGCAGAUUAUGGGAGGAAUUCAACAAACUGGAAUAAAAGUAGGAGAAGGAAAAGAGAAAAGAAGAACUCUUAACAGUUGCUUUACUACAGAGCUGGGUUUGGUAAGCACUUCAGAAUGCCUAUUAAAGCCUAAUGCGUUUGACCUGAAAGCCAGCAGCAACUCAACUUAACAGACAAAGUACUUGAUCAAACAAAUCACAAGGAAGAUGACAAAUACAAGUUGCUGGACAAACCUGUUUUCUAAAAGAACAGACGCUGAAGCAAUGAUCCUAGGUGCCAAGAAAGGAAUUCACAGGACCAUGCUUUGCCAACAAAUAAGUUAUCGGAUCAGAAGUAAUUGUCACUGGUUCAUCGGUGUCAAAAGUCAACUCCAAAUUGCAAAGCCGGAAAACAUCUUUGCAACAUGUAUGACAGACGCCUAAUAGCCUAUAUAAAGAGAGCUUACAGAUGGAAAAUCCUCAAAAUAAAGGCAAUACCCAUAAAAAGAAAUAUAAAAGGCUGAUCAGUAGAUGCCAUGAUGUUCAGCUUAUUGGCGAAGCUGCCCCAUUCCACAGCUUCGGGGGGGUGUCUAUUUGGAAACAGACACUCCAAAUAGAGAACCGUGAAAUUGGCAGCCUGCCUGACCAUAUUCAGUGCGCCUGCUUAGUAAACAACAACAAUAAGUAAAACAAUGAGAAUAUUGUAAUACAGUUGUCCCUCCAUAUCCCUGGGGGAUUGGUUCCAGGACCUCCCACGGAUACCAAAAUCCACAGAUGCUCAAGUUCCUGACAGAAAAAGGUGUAUUUGGGAGGCCAAGGUUG